CUUGGCGGCGAGUGGCGGACGGGUGAGUAAUAUAUCGGAACGUGCCCAGUAGCGGGGGAUAACUACUCGAAAGAGUGGCUAAUACCGCAUACGCCCUACGGGGGAAAGGGGGGGAUCGCAAGACCUCUCACUAUUGGAGCGGCCGAUAUCGGAUUAGCUAGUUGGUGGGGUAAAGGCUCACCAAGGCAACGAUCCGUAGCUGGUUUGAGAGGACGACCAGCCACACUGGGACUGAGACACGGCCCAGACUCCUACGGGAGGCAGCAGUGGGGAAUUUUGGACAAUGGGGGAAACCCUGAUCCAGCCAUCCCGCGUGUAUGAUGAAGGCCUUCGGGUUGUAAAGUACUUUUGGCAGAGAAGAAAAGGUAUCCCCUAAUACGGGAUACUGCUGACGGUAUCUGCAGAAUAAGCACCGGCUAACUACGUGCCAGCAGCCGCGGUAAUACGUAGGGUGCAAGCGUUAAUCGGAAUUACUGGGCGUAAAGCGUGUGUAGGCGGUUCGGAAAGAAAGAUGUGAAAUCCCAGGGCUCAACCUUGGAACUGCAUUUUUAACUGCCGAGCUAGAGUAUGUCAGAGGGGGGUAGAAUUCCACGUGUAGCAGUGAAAUGCGUAGAUAUGUG
rnacentral:rRNA from 1 species